GACGAACGCUGGCGGCGUGCUUAACACAUGCAAGUCGAACGAAGUGGCGAACGGGUUAGUAACGCGUAAUCAACCUGCCCUUCAGAGGGGGACAAUAGUUGGCAACGACUGCUAAUCCCGCAUACUGACGGAGGGGUUUGCGUGUGCUUAGCUAGUUGGAGGGGUAACGGCCCACCAAGGCGAGGAUCAGUAGCCGGGCUGAGAGGAUGAACGGCCAAAUUGGGACUGAGACACGGCCCAGACUCCUACGGGAGGCAGCAGUGGGGAAUCUUCCGAAAUGGACGAAAGUCUGACGGAGCAACGCCGCGUGAGUGAUGACGGCCUUCGGGUUGUAAAGCUCUGUUAAUCGGGACGCGGUACCGGAAUAGAAAGCCACGGCUAACUACGUGCCAGCAGCCGCGGUAAUAC
rnacentral:rRNA from 1 species